AAUGAAGUGCCUGAUAAAAAGGAUUAUUCUGAUAGAAUAAAUUAUGUAAAUUUUUACCUUUAUUA
rnacentral:tRNA from 1 species